rnacentral:rRNA from 1 species
GACGAACGCUGGCGGCGUGCUUAACACAUGCAAGUCGAACGGAAAGGCCCUGCUUUUGUGGGGUGCUCGAGUGGCGAACGGGUGAGUAACACGUGAGUAACCUGCCCUUGACUUUGGGAUGACUUCAGGAAACUGGGGCUAAUACCGGAUAGGAGCUCCUGCUGCUUGGUGGGGGUUGGAAAGUUUCGGCGGAUGGGGAUGGACUCGCGGCUUAUCAGCUUGUUGGUGGGGUAGUGGCUUACCAAGGCUUUGACGGGUAGCCGGCCUGAGAGGGUGACCGGCCACAUUGGGACUGAGAUACGGCCCAGACUCCUACGGGAGGCAGCAGUGGGGAAUAUUGCACAAUGGGCGGAAGCCUGAUGCAGCAACGCCGCGUGCGGGAUGACGGCCUUCGGGUUGUAAACCGCUUUCGCCUGUGACGAAGCGUGAGUGACGGUAAUGGGUAAAGAAGCACCGGCUAACUACGUG